UGGCUUUGGGGCAGGAUGGGGGUCAGGGCUGAGCGCACCCUCCAGAAUGACCUCAACUCCUGGCAUUGGGCCACAGGCUUCGGUCGGACCCGGGACUUCCGGUGCUCACCCUCACGUGCGGGGUCACGGGCAUCUCUCUCCCAGCCUCCCUGGGCAGCAGGACCCUGGACAGCGUUGGGGUCAAGAUCCGCCCGCCCCCCGCGCCCAAGGCUGGAAACCGGGGCUGAGCUGCCCCUGAGGCCGCACAUUAGGUGGUGUCCUUGGCGAGGACAACUCUCGACUGCGGAGCUCUCCUCAGAAAAGCGAGAUGGUGGCCCCAAGUCAGAGAAGGUUCUGCAUCCAGUGUCGCACCGGGACAAAGUCACUGUGUGCUGCUGUAUGUGAAUUUGUGCAAGGACACCACUGAGGUUCUGAGCCACAGAUGGAUGGGAUCGAGGGAUUCUCUUCCUGGCCUUGAACAAGUGAGCUACCAGGAUGUGAGAAGGCCUGUAAGGGGCCACAGGUCAAGGAACUGGCAGCCCCUAAGAGCUGUGAGUGGCCUCCAACUGUCCAGCAAAAGAAAGCAGCCGUGUGACCUUAGAAGAGGACCCCGAGACUCGCACGUGUGAAGAGGUUGCAUAAACUGCCACCUGUAGGCCUCAGUACCGAGUGUGUACUUCCGAAUGACACAGCACUUCAGUCUACAACCCUUGUUCCGAUGGCCCAGCUACUCCAGUGGCUCUUCCAGGUCCCAGACGGCUCGCCAGUUUCCCAAGUCGGGUGUCCCGACCCCCUUUAAUUGGAAAUAGUUCCUCUACCAUUUGUGUCUUUUAUGACACUGACAUGAGUUGAGGCCAGUUGCUUUGAAGAGUUCCCUCUUCUGGAGCUUAUGAUGUCUCUGCAUGAAUGAAUUCAAGUUUUAUUUUUCUGGUGGGAACACCCGCCGAGCAGCACAAAUUCCCCCCCAACGCAUCCGAAGGGGCGCUGCUUGGCGUCGUUGCCAGUGACGUCAUCCCUGACCACUCAGCGUCGUGGCUGCUAGCUUUUCCUAUAGCAAAGUUAAUUUUCCCUUUUGUCACACAGAAAAUGGCCUCUCUGGGGAGAGUUGGAUGACUGUUAGCACACGCACAGACGACUGCAGCCACGUGGGUCAGGACGCAGACUGUCCCAUCCCCCAGAACUCUCCUCCACGUUCUCCCUUUGUGCUCAGAUGGUGCUUGCGCCCGGCAGCCGCUGACCUGCUCCCCAUCACGGUGGCUUUGUCUCGGGAAGGCCGAUGAACGGAAGUAUACACUGUGUCCCUUUUGGGCGGGGACCUUGGAAGUUCACCCAGGUUCAUUCCUUUUUAUGGAUGGGUACUUGUCCGCGUAUGGGGAGACCACAGGCUACCUGUCCGCUCCUCCCCUGAAUCACAUCUGGGUUGCCUGCAGUUCAGGCAGUUAUGAAUAAAUCUGCCGUCGACAUUUGUA